rnacentral:misc_RNA from 1 species
UUUCCGUAGGUGAACCUGCGGAAGGAUCAUUGUCGAAACCUGCCCAGCAGAACGACCCGCGAACUUGUAUAACAACCGGGGGCGGGGGGCGUUCUCGCCCCGUGCCCCCGAACGGCGGGGAGACACUCGUGCCUUCUUGCCGAACAACGAACCCCGGCGCGGUCUGCGCCAAGGAACUUCAACUAAAGAGUGCCUCCGGUCGCCUCGGAAACGGCGUGCGUGCCGGGGGCGAAUCUUGUGCAAAACCAUAACGACUCUCGGCAACGGAUAUCUCGGCUCUC